UGCACCAUGUCGGUGUGAGUGCAGGGGCCGAGCAAUAACGACAGCAUCGACUGCGCCCGGAGAAUGUCUGGACGGUCUUUCAAGGACGCGGGUUCAAUUCCCGCCAUCUCCACUA
rnacentral:tmRNA from 1 species